UACGUAGGGGGCAAGCGUUGUCCGGAAUCAUUGGGCGUAAAGAGCGUGUAGGCGGCCCGAUAAGUCCGCCGUGAAAGUCCAGGGCUCAACCCUGGAAUGCCGGUGGAAACUGUCGGGCUCGAGUCCGGAAGAGGCGAGUGGAAUUCCUGGUGUAGCGGUGAAAUGCGCAGAUAUCAGGAAGAACACCCGUGGCGAAGGCGGCUCUCUGGUACGUGACUGACGCUGAGACGCGAAAGCGUGGGGAGCGAACAGG
rnacentral:rRNA from 1 species